UCGGGUACUGUCUGCUCCAGGGGGCGCUCGCUGCACGGGUGGAUAGAAGGACAAAGAACGCAGUUUGGCACAGGGUGGGUCUGUCUGUGUGUUCAGGUGCACCCAAGCGCAUAUAUUGCGGCACCAGAGUAUCCGCACAACACAGAUGCCGCAGGGUGAUUAAUUUUCCUGCAAGCAACCAGAUGGCGCGGGUGUAGCUGAUGAGGUGGCUGUGGAGGAAGGCACUGAUGGUGGAGACAGAUGGCGCUCACGUGCUGACUUACCCAAAAGAGUACACGAUGCAUCCACUGGAGGGCACCAGGUUGUUGUCGAAGCACACGGGCCAGUUGCCCAUCAUUCGUCUGUCUUUACAGUUGAAGUCUGUCGUGUACCAGUCGCUGAAACAAAACUCACUUUACACUAUCAGUUUGUUUAUGCCUGAAAAGGAACAAAAUAUAUUUCAGAGUUUACAAAAGCAGUUAGACAAUUCUAAUUAUUAGACCUCAGCAGUAUAGCGAAUGCAAGGCAAUUUACAUUGAAAUUUUAUAAAUUUAUGGAUUUCACUGAAAACUUAUGAGAUAAUUGAACGUUAAUAAAUUAAAUAGAAUUAACUUUCAUUUUAAGUAGGUAUAUCGUCUUACAAUUACAUUAUUCGUUCCAUCAGCUUUACUUGUAUAUAGUCCUUGAUGACAUAUUUUCACAAAUACAACUUCUAUAAAUGCCAGUUUUAUUUAGAAUAUCUCAAAGCAUGACUAGAUAACUAUGUGUAACUAAAGAUGAAUAUAAGAGAUACUAUCUCAAGACAUACUGGUAAAUUAUACAAGCAUCAUUUUAACUCCCUUUUCUAAAAAGGUUUUGUGAUGUUGAGGUGCAUCUCUUGUACAUCAAUCUUUUGCUUAAAUCCUCAGACAGCAUAGCUACAUUCUGACAUCCAAGUGGUGCACCUUGGCUUACAGAGCCAAUUGUAAAUACUUGGCUUGAAUGAUUUAUCCCAUUGAAUAAAUCUGUAAAGAUUGGUCUUACACUGAUAGUGUUGUUAACUUGCACUAGCAUGUGACUGAUGUUAUCUUGGUGAGAUCACCUUCUUUAUGAAAUAAGAGAUUGCUUGAUGAACAGGAGAGACAGCAGAAUAAACGAGGUGCAACAAAAUAGAGAUAGGCAAUGAAUGCAUUGGAUCUGUGAUUUUAGAAUAAAAAGUGUUGGUACAGACUGAUGUAACUAAUGCACUGACAAAGAUUUGUUCUGUUGAUAAAUAGCAUUUUUGCUUAAUUACAUUAGCAGCGUUACAAAUAACCUUACCUCUCUUGCAACACAUAUUUUUUUCAUUAAUUAAAUAUUUAAAAUUCAAA